rnacentral:rRNA from 1 species
UACGUAGGGGGCUAGCGUUGUCCGGAUUUAUUGGGCGUAAAGAGCGCGUAGGCGGCCUGGCAAGUCCGACGUGAAAUCUGGAGGCUCAACCUCCAGCGGUCGUUGGAAACUGCUUGGCUAGAGUCCGGAAGAGGAGAGUGGAAUUCCUGGUGUAGCGGUGAAAUGCGCAGAUAUCAGGAAGAACACCGAUGGCGAAAGCAGCUCUCUGGGACGGUACUGACGCUGAGGCGCGAAAGCGUGGGGAGCAAACAGG